rnacentral:RNase_P_RNA from 1 species
GGCAUACGAGUGAGGAUCGCGGGCGGGUCGGUGACGGCGCCGCUCGAGGAAAGUCCGGGCUCCACGGAAACACGGUGCCGGGUAACGCCCGGCGGGGGCGACCCCAGGGAAAGUGCCACAGAGAGCAGUCUGCCCGCCGGGACCGGACCCUUGAGGUCGGGUCUGCGGGCGAGGGUGAAAGGGUGCGGUAAGAGCGCACCGCGGCGCCGGCAACGGCGGCGGCACGGCAAACCCCACCGGGAGCAAGACCAACUAGGGACGACGGCUCCGCG